rnacentral:rRNA from 1 species
UACGUAGGGGGCUAGCGUUGUCCGGAAUCAUUGGGCGUAAAGAGCGUGUAGGCGGCCCGGUAAGUCCGCUGUGAAAGUCGGGGGGCUCAACCCUCGGAUGCCGGUGGAUACUGUCGGGCUUGAGUACGGAAGAGGCGAGUGGAAUUCCUGGUGUAGCGGUGAAAUGCGCAGAUAUCAGGAGGAACACCAAUUGCGAAGGCAGCUCGCUGGGACGUUACUGACGCUGAGACGCGAAAGCUAGGGGAGCAAACGGG